AACCCGAACCCCGAAACCCGAAAUCCAAAACCCGAAACCCCAAACCCGAAACCCCGAACCCCAAACCCCAAACCCCGAACCCCUAAACCCGAAACCCGAAACCAAAAACCCGAAACCCGAAACCAAAAACCCGAAACCCAAACCCGAAACCCGAAACCCGAAACCCGAAACCCCAAACCCAUAUUCCUUAUUUUCUACUUCAUAUAUUCCAAACCC
rnacentral:lncRNA from 1 species